rnacentral:tRNA from 2 species
UGGGCCGUCGCCAAGCGGUAAGGCACGGGGUUUUGAUCUCCGCAUACCAAGGUUCGAAUCCUUGCGGCCCAG